GAAUGAAGAACGUAGCGAAAUGCGAUAAGUAAUGUGAAUUGCAGAAUUCAGUGAAUCAUCGAAUCUUUGAACGCACAUUGCGCCCGCUAGUAUUCUGGCGGGCAUGCCUGUCCGAGCGUCAUUUCAACCCUCAAGCCCCCGGGCUUGGUGUUGGGGAUCGGCGAGCCUCCGCGCCCGCCGUCCCCUAAAUCUAGUGGCGGUCUCGCUGUAGCUUCCUCUGCGUAGUAGCACACCUCGCACUGGGAAACAGCGCGGCCACGCCGUUAAACCCCCAACUUCUGAACGUUUGACCUCGGAUCAGGUAGGAAUACCCGCUGAACUUAAGCGUAUCAAUAAGCGGAGGA
rnacentral:misc_RNA from 1 species